CUCUCUGUGUCGCCUGAAAUUCAAAGAGUUUCAGGCAGACAUCAUCACACGCUUCAAUCAAUUUCAAAGAGCAUUUCUGGGUUGGGAGUGGCUGGAGAGAUGACUUCACAGUUAAGAAACCUUGAUGCUAUUCCCUAGGAAGCAAGUUCAGUUGCUGGUAUCCAAGGUGGCUCACAAUCAUCUAUAACUAUCACCAGCUCCAGGUGAUCUGCAAUGCCCUACAAUCUCAGCUGAAUUAUUUAUACAUGUGUGUCCUACUCUGCAUCAUACGAAGAUGUUUUUCAUCUGUUCUGAGAGUGUUUAAUUGCUUAAGUUUGAUAAGAACAGAUUCAGAUUGAGAAAAGACAACCUGUUACUCCCACAGAUACCGGGACAAAAGAGUACCUCACACUUGGCUCUGUUAAGACACUUGGAGUGUGGUUGGAAGGUAGAGGAGAGAGCACAGUCCUCUACUUAGACUUACUACAAAGCAGUCCAUUUCAUAUCUAUGCCAUGCUUAUUCUGUACUGGAAAAUUUACAAAUCUAUCAUUUUGAGAUAUUCAUGUCACCUGAUUUCUCACUCUAAAUUACUAACAUAUUUUUAAAUGAGUUAUCAAGCCUUACAUUAAUGAACCAUAGUCAGAAUUCUGAAACACUGCUGCUUAAGAAGUAUAGUCCACAUAAAAUUCCAAUUCUAUCAAUUUUCCUUUCAAGCUUUGUAUUUUAUAUUUGACUACUGCAUUCUUCAUUCCAUUUUCCCUCUCCAUUUGUGUUUCAUCAUGUUUUUCUGUUUCCCCCUUCCAACCAUAUCUAAUAGGAUUAUUACCUUGUCACUAAAAUCACCAUUUAUUUAAAGGUUGAGAUUGAAAAAAUUCUUAUGAAUUUGCUGGUUUCUCCCAAGUGAUCAUCCAGAGAAAUUAAUCCUAACUGCUGUUACAGGUGAACCCAUGUCACUCCACAUUUCCCUCCUGUGACCUAGAAACUACUUUUCUGUGACUAUCAACAUAUUGUAUUGUACUGUACUGUAUUUACUUUAAUUUUCCUUCAGCUAUAUGUAGCACAUAGUAUUUUCAUUACACUCACCACUCAGAUUUACUAUGCAUCCUUGGGCAAUAGCAGCACUAAAUUUCUGCCCCCUCCUUCCUUUUUCAUUUUUUCCUUGAAUUCUAAGGGCCACCCCAAGCAGAAGGCAUUUGAGAAUUAAACAUUGUGACUCAGCAUCAAGAGACCUCAAUAAACAGACAGAACACCUCAGACAGCAUGUCUGUGCCACACCAUGCUGCCGACAGAGCCCAGGUGAUGGAGUGAUUCUGGCAGAACUCCUGCGCUCUUCGAAUACUUGGGAAGUGCAUUUCCUGGCUUCUUCUCACUGUUACGGAUUUGUUUUAGUUUUUGUUUUUCAGGAAAAUGAUUACUGUUGUAUAAAAAAAUUAAUUGGCUAUCUCUACUGCUGGCUUCAGAAAGAUGACUUAACAAAUCUAUUAUUAAAAUUAAGUCUCAACAAAUAUGUUGCAUAAACAUUGCAUGUAAUGUUACUGAUGUUACUUCUGUAUCCUAAAAACCAUCUUAGGGAUUAAUGUUCCAAAUAUUUAUCUGCACUUAUGAACUGACACUUUUAGCAAGCAGCUUUAAUUCACAAAGACCCAACCAAUAGAGUCAUACAGUACUAUGUGUUCAGUUGGCUGAGUUAGUGAAAAUUUUCUUUGUCUCAUAUAGAGAGAGCUCUGUGAUGCUCAUAAGCUUAAUAUUUAAAACACUAGGGAAAAAUCUAUAAUUUCCCAGUAAAUUUUACUUUAGCCUAUUGAUCCAGUCUUCUUGGAAUAACACAUUCUUGACAGCAGAAUAAGAGGCAAUGUAGGAAAAAGUCAAACUGUCCUGUUUCUGACAAAGGUCCUCCCUCAAGGACAUACUAUUCCAAAUCGUUUGCUUUACUAUAUCUGCUUUUUAAAAACUGCAAGUCAGUUUUGAGUAUGACUGAGUAUUGCUAUGGUUCCCUUUACUUCCAGGAGAGCUGAGUAUUUUGGGUAUUAGUACCCUUUUGUACAAUUUGAAAUGCCGACAUCGAUGUAAUAAUCUGAGCCGAAGCCCUGCCACAGCCACAGCCCUGCCAAAACUUCUCCAGCAGGAGGUAAUUUCCACUUACAGAUACAGCGGCUCACUCCCAGGCUGCCCCUCCCCAGUCUGCCAGCUUUCAUCCAAACAAGGCAUACACAUCUAAGUUCCUGCACAUUCUUGAAAAGCCUUGGCAUGCAAAAUAAAUACUUUACAUCCAUACUGUCAAAUAUAUAAAAUAAUACCAUCUCUCAAUUAACAUGAUCACUGAGAGCCCUGACACUCUUGCCGGAUAAACCGGGAUCUCUAUCAUCAGUACCGCAUCGUCGUUUUAUCCCAACUCAGCACAUUACCUAACCUAGAGAAAAAUCUUGGACUCACCGUCUGUGUUGAACCAUCUGCCGAUCUUGGUAUAAUAUCUAUUUCAAAUCGUCCCUUUGAAUAGACUUGGGGAGAGUUAUGACACACGCUGUGUCUCUUCUGCAGCAGAAGGCAAGUUAAAAGGACUUCAAGCUGUGACCUCAGAGGCAGGCACAACCGCUCCCAUCCUUCAGCCAACCUUCUGCAAAGAACAGGUUAUAAGACUGCAAACCUGGCUCUCUUCAUAGCAAUACUUUGAAAUAAAGCAUUCUGAGCUGUGAGCUGUGGAUUUACAUGCCCGAACCAGGCUGGCUGGAGUCAAUGCUGCUUCUAUGCCUGAAAAUAUUAAGCAUUUCACUGCAGUCACUUAAUGCAAGAAACUAUCCGAGGCGACUUCACAAACCCUGUCAUUCUGUUCGGGGGACUAAAGAACGAGCAGGGCAUGCAUAAUUCAUGCAUUGGAGUCUUCAAUGCACUUCCUGUAGCCUGGGCUCUACCCAGUAAUGGGCUAUUGAUCACCUCAUCCCUAAGACAAUCGGAGCGCUCUGAUUGGUUUAUUUCCACAAAUAAAAUUACAACCUGAAUCACAGGCUGAAGCCUCCAGCCCGGCUGCAGCUUCUCAGGAAAGACAUUCCCAUAGCCGAAAUGACAUCUGCAAGCUGCAGGAUUUCUAAGCUGGGCUCGUUUGGGCAGAAACUACAGAAUCUGUUUUCUUUUCAUCAAAAAGGGCAUACUUUACUCUAGGAUUAAGCUGGGUAUUUCACUUUAUCAGGAUGAUACAUACAGCUGUUUCCUUCUCCAUCAUUUCAGAGACAUCAACAAGGACAAAUGAAAAUUAAGAAAAAAAACACAUAAAAGAGUAACAUGUGGCAAAAAAAUUAGGAGCCUUUUACCUGACCUCAUUCAGUCAUUGCUCUUAGAAGAAUUAUUCUAAAAUAGUUAGUAUGUCAUUUCAUUAAUGUACAAAGUCUUUCUUUUAUUAAAAAUCAUAAUGUAUAAUGUAGUUAUCCAUAUUAGAUAUUCUAGACCAUGAUUAGUUUUAUUCUGGGUGUGUCAGUGGUUCUGAGAUCUUUCUCUGGAAAUUUAAGCUUCAAAGAACACACUAUUGUUUACAAUGACUGAAAAAAAACAGCUGUUCAACAAAGUGUACAUUUAAUUAUGCUCAUACUCAUUAAAAACAAACAAACAGGUCCUAGAACUUUAAAAUGCCAUUAUAGUAUUUGAAGAAAUACUACUGUGGGAGAUCCUGUGAAUCUGAAAAUGUCUGUAUCUAAAAAUAGUGAACAUCUACUCAAAGACCUCUGGACUAAAAUUAGUUGUCUUAUGUUUUUACACAGGAGGAGUGAACAUAAUGCUCUUAAAGUCACUGAGCACCAUGAAAUCACAUCUUCCCAAAGCCUGUACUCACACACACACACACACACACACACACACACACACACACACACACACACACACACGAGUAAACACAAACACACAUUCAAUUUAUAUUUCUAUGCUAUCACACUUGAUCACUGAUAAAGCCAGAGUGAAAAGUUCUUGACUUGGGGAUAAAGAAACACUAUUGUGGAAAAGCCAUUCUCCCACCCCCUGCAUUUUAGAUUGUGCAGAGCAAUCGCCUUUUGAGCAGGCACAACUGUGUUGGUCUUGAGUCAGUAAACCAACAGUACAUAUAGAGUUUGGAGGCAGUAGAGAUACAGAUGGCAACAGAGGUGCAACAGAGUGAAAAAUACACUUUUCUUCCAAGUGUAUAUGACAUGUAAGAUCUGUACCUGACAAAUAGAGUUUCUUCUAGAACAUUCUAGGGCAGGGUGGGAAACUAAUCACCCAAUGACUUUGGUGAUAAUAAAUUCUGUAUUCAUACUACUUUUUUUUAACCCUGAGAAGUUCCUACCUUUGUAUUUAUAUAUUACUGUCUGUCUGAUAAAUUUUAACUAAAUUACACAAUGGGUCUUAUGUAUUUUUAUCUCUUUCUCUGAUCGAUGAUCUUUCCUGUUAAAUAUAGGAUUGAAAGGACUUGGAUAUCUUUGAAAUUUGUAUAGCAAUUUAUUAAAAGACACAAUUUCUCAUGGGAGAAUAUCUCAUUUAAAAUAGCAAAAGUUGAGAAUAAAGAGAUGCCUCAGCAGGUAAGAGCAUUGACUGCUCUUCUAGAGAACCUGGAUUCAGUUCCUUAAACCCACCUUGCAUCUCACAGCCAUCUGUAACUCUAAUUAAAGAGGAUCCAGCACCUUCUGGCCUCGAGUGCACCAGGCAAACGCAUAGAAAAUGAGCAUGCAUGCACACAGAACACCAUCCAGAUAUAAUAAACAGGCAUACAUAUAAAAUAAAACAAAUAAGGCAUUUUUUAAUUUAAAGUAAGUAAUUAAAUAAGUGAAAAAGCAAAAAAAAAUGACAGGUUUAGAAUGUACUGAGCAUGCCAAUAUUAGAGUAACUGAUAUAAUGUUCAAUAACUAUAAAUGACAUGAUUCAAUUGUGUCAUGUUCAGGUGACUAGGAUGAUUAUCAGUUUGGUCCAUCUCUCUACAAUGAAUGGGAAGAAAACCCGUGUCUUUUUCCAUCAAAACUUUCAUGACACAUAUCUAAAAUGAAGAUUGUGAAUUAUGUAUGUAUGCCAACUCUCUGAAAAUGGAGGGAGAAAUGUGUUUACACACACGGGGUGGGGCGGGAGGGUAUGACAAACUGUUGACCUAGACUUAACCAAGAAUUAGAACCCAGCAAAAAAGAGAAUCAUGUGGCCUAAGAUAAGCGAUGAAAACAGUAAAUCUCGAGGAAGUCAGAAGCUUGAAUUCUGAAUGAAAGUGACCAUACAGAGCAGACUACAUCACCUCCCAGUUAAAACAAGGCCCAAGGCUGUAAUAAAUACAGUGUCCAUUUUCCUGAAGUUUGGCUAUUCCUGAGGGGAAAAAACAAAUGAACAAACACUUAGCCAAUAUUUCCAGAUGGAUAGAAAACAGAGAUGGUCAUUUCAAAUAAAUUUGAUCUCUUGGCGACCAAAUGGCUUUCCAAUAUUUUGAAUUUAUAAUGCCCACAAAAUACAGAAUAGAUUCCACAAUGGAGGUUAAAACAAAUCCAAAUUUGGGAUAAACCAAGUCACAUGUUAGACUGUCAAAUCUGUGGUAUCUGUUAAGAUGUAUAACAAAUCUCCUUGUCUCAUUUCAUUUUGAACAAUGUAUGAUGUGUUUUCAAUAACCCAGAAAUAAUAAACCAAUAAAAAUAACAUCAUGAAAAUUUG